UUCAUCGCUGCUUGCAGCUUUAAUAUGGAAUUAUUCUUGAUGAUGAAUGUCAACUUCUUAUGACUUUUCAUUUACUGUUAUAGGAAAUGUGGGAUCAAGAGAAGCAGCACCUGAGAUACUGGGUGAGAACAGAGUGUGUCCAACCCUCCUGCUUCCUUUGUGAAGCUGGUUCUGCUCUCGGGAAAAGAAGGGGUGAUGGUCUGCACUGUGGCUGUAGAAGAGAGUAUCUCAGAGCACUACAACAGCCAGAUCAGAACUCUUAUGGAGAAAUAUCCUGAGAAGUACACAGAACUGCUACAGAUAAGACCCUUAUUCCUCGUCUGGUAUCGUUUAAAGCCCUUUGAAGCUGCACUGAAACUAGUUUUGACCUUCGACCUUUUGGAGCCCACUGAAGUCCACUAUAAGGAGAAUAAUCCUGGAAUGUUUUCAUCAAAAACCUUAAUUUCUUUUUGACUGAAGAAAGAAAGACAUGAACAUCUUGGAUGACAUGAGGGUGAGUAAAUUAUCAGGAAAUUUUUAUUUGAAAGUGAACUAAUCCUUUAAUAUCUAAAUAGAAUAAUUUCAAAAGUGAUAUCAGAUGCAAAACCCUACUGAAUAAUAUAUGUAUGAUGCAGAUGAAUGACAUGUUACUGACUGACUACUGAUAUGUAACAGCGUUUUUUUUUUGUGUGUGUGUGUGAGUGUGUGUCAGAUCAUUAAAGAAUUUCGGGAUGAUGAAAUGAAGCACAAUGACACCGGACUGGAGCAUGAUGCUGAAUCAGAUGUGUGUGUUUGCACAGACCACUUGGAACACAAGAGGGCAGUCUUUGCCUCUUAAGUUAAAGUGAUAGAGAAAAUAGGACAUGGAGACAGAACCAAAAGAUUGCACAUGUCAAGAUUUGAUUUGGUGGCAAAGUAAACCACGGCUGUAUUCUGAAGUCUUGGACGCGUGAUUGGGAAGGAAUGUGGGUGCCACCUUGAGGUCAGUAUCUGUUUAGGGGACAAAUAAUUUAGGAUAAAAAGAUUUUAAUUAAAAGCACAGUCAGUUCUGCUUUUAACAAUCUCACAGUAUGCAAGUUAAAAUGUGCUGUAUCUUUACAUUGUCUGGUUCUCUCUAAUAAUGAUUUCAAAUGUAACAGAUGUCUUAGGUGUAGGUGGGCUGUAUAUGUUUAUUUAAACAUUCUCUUUAAGCCCAGUCAUUUGGAAUUUUGAGUAGAUAAAUGGUAGCUACAAUUAAAGGAAUAGUUCACCCCAAAUUUCUGUAAUCAUUUACUUCAUAUCAUGCUCAAACCGCUCAAUGAAACUGGAUUUCAGUUACAUUGAUGCAUUUAGAAGACCCUUUUUUAAUAUGACAGCAGAGGUCACUGUAAGUCUGGAUUUUUAUGAGGCAUACCUUUCAACAGGUUCUCAAGAGCAGAAACAAAUGAAAAUUCACUAAAAAAAUCACUAAAUUCUCAUCUAAUUCUAAUCGAUAUAAUCUAAUCUAAUUAUAUCUAUAUCAAAUUGUUUAUGUCAUCCUUCCAACCUAUAAAUGUUUCCCUUGUCCUGUAUUUACAGAAACAAUGUGGUUUUCACCUAAAAAAAUUUUUUACCUGAAACGGUUUCUUAAGUCUUAUUCAUUUCAAAUGCUGUGGUUUAAUGGAACACCUCUAUUAUAUUAUUAUAUUAUAUUAUAUUAUAUUAUAUUAUAUUAUAUUAUAUUAUAUUAUAUUAUAUUAUAUUAUAGUUCCUCCCAAAGUUCCUUCAUUAACUUAAAUAUCUUAAGGUUUUUCCUGAUUCUUUUCUGUUCUGUUCUGGUCUGUUCUAUUCCGUUCUAUUCUAUUGUUCUAUUCUAUUCCAGUCUGAGGCUUCCUAAGCCUUAGUUCCUCCCAAGGUUCCUUCUUCAUUAACUUAAAUAUCUUAAGGUUUUUUCUGGUUCUGUUCUAUUCUAUUCUAUUCCAUUCCAUUCC